rnacentral:rRNA from 1 species
GACGAACGCUGGCGGCGUGCUUAACACAUGCAAGUCGAACGGUAAGGCCCUUCGGGGUACACGAGUGGCGAACGGGUGAGUAACACGUGGGUGAUCUGCCCUGCACUUCGGGAUAAGCCUGGGAAACUGGGUCAAAUACCGGAUAGGACCACUGCCUGCAAGGGUGGGGGUGGAAAGCUUUUGCGGUGUGGGAUGGGCCCGCGGCCUAUCAGCUUGUUGGUGGGGUGAUGGCCUACCAAGGCGACGACGGGUAGCCGGCCUGAGAGGGUGACCGGCCACACUGGGACUGAGAUACGGCCCAGACUCCUACGGGAGGCAGCAGUGGGGAAUAUUGCACAAUGGGCGCAAGCCUGAUGCAGCGACGCCGCGUGAGGGAUGACGGCCUUCGGGUUGUAAACCUCUUUCAGCACCGACGAAGCGCAAGUGACGGUAGGUGCAGAAGAAGGACCGGCCAACUACGUGCCAGCCGCCGCGGUAA